GAUGAACGCUGGCGGCGUGCCUAAUACAUGCAAGUCGAGCGAACAGAUGAGGAGCUUGCUCCUCUGACGUUAGCGGCGGACGGGUGAGUAACACGUGGAUAACCUACCUAUAAGACUGGGAUAACUUCGGGAAACCGGAGCUAAUACCGGAUAAUAUAUUGAACCGCAUGGUUCAAUAGUGAAAGACGGUUUUGCUGUCACUUAUAGAUGGAUCCGCGCCGCAUUAGCUAGUUGGUAAGGUAACGGCUUACCAAGGCAACGAUGCGUAGCCGACCUGAGAGGGGGAGAGGCCACAAGGGAACAGAGACACGGAAGAGACUAGGACGGAAGGCACAAGUAGGGAAUCUUGCGCAAUGGGCGAGAACAGUACAGAGCAACGACGAGGGAAAGAAGAAGGUCUUCGGAUCGGAAAACUCUGUUAUGAGGGAAGAACAAAAGGGGAAGGAACUAUGCACGCCGGGACGGUACCUAAUCAGAAAGCCACGGCUAACUACGUG
rnacentral:rRNA from 1 species